rnacentral:lncRNA from 1 species
UUUUUUGGCAGCUUUUUAUUUUGAAAAUUUCUAAGGUGUAAGCCUCCAGAAAGGUGCAAGAAUUGCACAGUGAACACUGUAGUCUGACCAGCUGUAAAUAUGCUGUCACAGGGCACUGGGGUGGUUCAGUGGGUUAAGCAUCAGACUCUUGAUUUCAGCUUAGGUCAUGAUCUCAGGGUCGGGAGACUGAACCCCACAACAGGUUCAAUGCUCAGCAAGGGAGUAUGCUUCAGAUUCCCUCCCUCUCCCUCCACCCAUUCCAUGCUCUCUCUCUGUCUCUCAAAUAAAUAAAAAAAAUCUUUUUAAAACAUAAAUAUUCUGUCACAUUUGUUUCCCCUCUUCUUGUACAUAUGUGAAUGUGUGCAUGCGUGGCUACGUGUAUGCACAGGCAUGUGUGUGGUGUAUGUCUAUGUAUGUAUGUAUAUGUAUAUAUGGGCAUUAGGUAAACAACUGAGUAUGUAUAUUUGGCUUAAAUUAUUUGAGAGUUAAUUGCAGACAUUAAUAUAUUUCAUUCCUAAAUACUUCAGCAUAAAUCUCCUUAGACCAAGAAUAGCUGCCUAUACUGCAAUUAUCACACUCAGGAAAUGUAAAAUUUAUAACUCUACAGUUUUCUAAUAAGCAGUUAGUUUCAAAUCCCUUAAAUGUCCCCAAAUGUCCUUUAUAACAUCUUAUUUUUGAUCCAGGGUCUAAUCAAGUAUCACGCAUUAUAUUUUGUGGUCAUCUUUGUUGAGUCUCCUUUAAUCUAGAAUGGUCCCCCAGCCAUGUUUAUUUGUUUAUUUUUGGCCCUUUAUGACACUGACAUUUUUGUAGAGUACUGGGCCAGCUGCUUUACGGAAUUUCCUUUCAUUUUAAUUUACCUGCAGGUUAAAGUCUCUCAUUCUAAGUACCUAACAUGACCAACAUCAAUGUUCCCACAAGGAAUAAUAUUUAGGCUGAAAUACCAAACCAGUGAAGAAUAAGAACACUUCCGUGUUUGAGGUCUCACCUGGUAGGAGACUCUCCUCAAUUUGUUAAGUCUCAUCAGCGCCAUCAAGUUAGCACUGCCCACAUACUAGUCGAUCACAUACUACCUUCAAGAAUUCUGUUAAUCCAGGUUCUGUCUGUGUUAGCAUUUAUGCAAUCUUUUACUUCAAUUCAAUUGAUUUAUUUAAACGAUUAUCCUAAGAAAUAGCAUCCAUAAAAAGAGUUUUGCUAUGCUUACUGUAUUUUUCUAAUACCUAUCAAAGCACACAAAAAUACCCCAAACAAAUGUAUGCACAUCUAAAACUAUCUCCCAUACCACAGUGGGCUUCUUGGGGAAAUACUGAAUAGAGAUGGUCAUACUGCUGUGUGUGUGUCGUGCAUGCGUGUAGACAGAGCUGGCAUAAAAGGCCUUCUUAAGAACUAAGGAAACAAGAAAAGUAUCACGGUUGUCGGGCCAAGCCAGGGACAACUUCCAAACAAAUGACAAGACCUGCAAUGCCUGAGAGGCACAGCUGCUAUCUCCAGUCCCCUGACACCAGAUUGAUUGCUUCUCUAUUCAUUUCCCAGGCCCUCAGUAGGCAAGAUUGAAAACAGGCUCAGGAAAAUGCUACUCAGGCAAACUCUUGACACUGCUGAGAGGAAUCAACGUGUCCUCCAGAAGAUCACUCUUUGUGGCCUGUAAGAUAUGUAUAUUGGAUCACAGAAUUCUUGAUGUUUCAUAUCCCUCUAUGUUUGCCCGAAGGAGACUGAGGCCCAGAGAUGCUGGGUGGGUUGUCCAAGGUCACACUGCUAGUUGGUGGCAAACCAGAAGGUUCAUCUACAACUUCAGUUCCUCAGGGGCAGCUCAUCACUUCAUGAGCUCAGGCUUCCACAGGUCUGUUUCUCCCUCUUCUGUCCACAGCUCUCAGACAGAAUCUCACAAUCUAUAUCUUUGCAUCCCCAGUCCCUGGAACAAAUGCAUAUUUGUUAAAUGACCUGAACACAGGGGAGGUGGGAUAAAUGUGACAGUGGAGUUCUAAAAAUCAGACAUGGGGGAAAAGAAUGAAUGAGAAAAGGUGGGAUCAAAGAAUCUCAUAUGUCCAAAUUGAGGAGGUGUCUGCAUAAAGCACUGCCUUCUAUUUUUUUUUAUUUAUGAUAGUCACACAGAGAGAGAGAGGCAGAGACAUACGCAGAGGGAGAAGCAGGCUCCAUGCACCGGGAGCCCGACAUGGGAUUCGAUCCUUUGUCUCCAGGAUCACGCCCUGGGCCAAAGGCAGGCGCUAAACCACUGCGCCACCCAGGGAUCCCUAAAGCACUGCCUUUUAAAGUCACUAGGCACAAGAAUUAGUCAAGGAGCUUGUUAAAACUGCAGAUUCUUAGCACCACAGAUGCAGCUAUUCUGACUUUGCUGGUUUGGGGCAGGGCUUAGAACUCUUCAGUUCAACAAAACACAGGCUAUUCUGAUGAAGGGGGUCCUCAAAACACACUUUAUGAACCACUAGCAAAAAUAAUACAGUGCAGGGUGCUCAGGGCAGUAGUUACUAGAUUAGGCUGGGCUGAAUCACCUGGGAGGGGAUUGUAUGGACAGCAAGGAAGAUAAUGAAAAUGCAGUUUCCCGAGCUCCACCCCAAGUCUUCAGAAUCAGAACUGGAGAUGCAUUGGGGGGGGGGGGGGGCAAGAGUCAGGAAACUUUGCUCCUGUGGCUAAGUGCUUUGUUAUAAGAACCUGGAGUGGGGGUAUUAGCUUCUUGUCUUCAUCCAAUCAUCUCCACUCAUCCCCAAACCUCCCAUCUAUGAAGCAGAGACCAUAUGGCUCUCUCGGAUGUAAAUGGUAAAUACUCAUAAGGAAAGGCUCUUUGAAAAAAAAAAAAAAAAAAAAAAAGAAA